rnacentral:rRNA from 1 species
GGUAACCUACCUCUUAGCGGGGGACAACUCUUGAAAACGAUAGCUAAUACCGCAUAACAAUACUUAACACAUGUUAAGUAUUUGAAAGCACCAAUUGGUGCACUAACAGAUGGACCCGCGUUGUAUUAGCUAGUUGGUAGUGUAAUGGACUACCAAGGCGAUGAUACAUAGCCGACCUGAGAGGGUGAUCGGCCACAUUGGGACUGAGACACGGCCCAAACUCCUACGGGAGGCAGCAGUAGGGAAUCUUCGGCAAUGGACGAAAGUCUGACCGAGCAACGCCGCGUGAGUGAAGAAGGUUUUCAGAUCGUAAAACUCUGUUGUUAGAGAAGAACGUCAGUGAGAGUGGAAAGUUCACUGAGUGACGGUAUCUAACCAGAAAGGGACGGCUAACUACGUGCCAGCAGCCGCGGUAAUACGUAGGUCCCGAGCGUUGUCCGGAUUUAUUGGGCGUAAAGCGAGCGCAGGUGGUUUAAUAAGUCUGAUGUAAAAGGCAGUGGCUCAACCAUUGUGUGCAUUGGAAACUGUUAGACUUGAGUGCAGUAGAGGAGAGUGGAAUUCCAUGUGUAGCGGUGAAAUGCGUAGAUAUAUGGAGGAACACCGGUGGCGAAAGCGGCUCUCUGGACUGUAACUGACACUGAGGCUCGAAAGCGUGGGUAGCAAACAGGAUUAGAUACCCUGGUAGUCCACGCCGU